AUCUCUCAAACUCAAAAGUUUUUGUUAAUUCAAAACUUUUGUAGUUUGGACUUGGAGGUCUUUUGCUGGCGUUUUUUCAAAUGUCAGCUCCUCUUAAAAAUAUUAGCUUGGGUCUUUUGUAUGUUGGAUCCUUGGUGUGAUAAUUAUCUACGCCAUGAUGUCCCUUCAAACCCUGCUUCUAAUCGUUAUCUUGACUGAUAACAAAUUCAUUUGAC
rnacentral:misc_RNA from 1 species